CAGAGCCAGGGAGGAAUGAGCAUGUCUUGGGACCCCACAGCCAGGCGCCAUCACCGCCUAUCGCUGCUCCUGGUGCUGGUGCUGCUGUCACGAGCCGGGGCUCUGCGUCCUGUGGAGCUCUUUCCUUACGGGGAGUUGUGGGGAGAUCGGCUGCCACAGGAGGGCGACGUUGAAAGCUCCCCGGCUGUGAAGCUAGCAGUACCUCUAUGCUUCUACAGUGACCAGUUCAGCAACCUCUACGUGGGCACCAAUGGCAUCAUCUCCACCCAGGACUUACCCAGGGAGACUUAAUAUGUCAUUGAUGAUUUUCCUACUGACUUCCCAGCCAUCGCCCCAUUCCUGGCUGACAGCCACUCGAGUCACAGCAGUGGCCGGAUCCUGUAUGGAGGACACAUCCUGGGAUGUGCUGAGUCUGGCUGCUUGCUACCUGUGCACAGGCUUCCCGCUGACCAGGUCCAGCUUCCCCCCUACCCACUUCUUCCUGGCCACCUGGGAGCAAGUGGGCGCCUAGGAGGAGGACAGGCUUGGGGCUGCAUGGUCUGGAGAGGUAAGCCAGGG
rnacentral:lncRNA from 14 species